CUGGUUGAUCCUGCCAGACCCGACUGCUAUCAGAGUGGGACUAAGCCAUGCGAGUCAACGUAGCAAUACGUGGCAUACGGCUCAGUAACACGUAGUCAACAUGCCCAGGGGACGAGGAUAACCUCGGGAAACUGAGGAUAAACCUCGAUAGGCCAAGAUUUCUGGAAUGAUUCCUGGCUAAAACCUAUAUGGCCCCUGGAUUGGACUGCGGCCGAUCAGGCUGUUGGUGAGGUAAUGGCCCACCAAACCUAUUACCGGUACGGGCUCUGAGAGGAGGAGCCCGGAGAUGGGCACUGAGACAAGGGCCCAGGCCCUAUGGGGCGCAGCAGGCGCGAAACCUCUGCAAUAGGCGAAAGCUUGACAGGGUUACUCUGAGUGAUUUCCGCUAAGGGAAUCUUUUGGCACCUCUAAAAAUGGUGCAGAAUAAGGGGUGGGCAAGUCUGGUGUCAGCCGCCGCGGUAAUACCAGCACCCCGAGUGGUCGGGACGAUUAUUGGGCCUAAAGCAUCCGUAGCCGGUCCUGCAAGUCUUCCGUUAAAUCCAGCUGCUCAACAGAUGGGCUGCGGGAGAUACUACAGGGCUAGGACGCGGGAGAGGCAAGCGGUACUUUAUGGGUAGGGGUAAAAUCCGCUGAUCCAUAGAAGACCACCAGUGGCGAAUGCGGCUUGCCAGAACGCGCUCGACGGUGAGGGAUGAAAGCU
rnacentral:rRNA from 1 species